GUUGGUGGUAGACCGGCAAUGGGUCUAAUCUUUCCGCCCGAUCCCCGUGGCUCUGGGCGCCUGCCGCUGCUGCUACUGCUGAAGGGAUCCCGUAGCGGAGACGGGAGGCGGCGAAGAGCGAGAUCCGUGGAGCAGCGAACUUCGUAUUUUGUUAUCUUCUCCAGUUCCUUUUCUUCUGUUCUGCUGUCUCCAGCUAAAAGAGAAAAAAAAAAGAAAAGAAAAAAAAGGAAAAGGAAAAAAAGUAAAGAAAAAAAAGAGAAAACAUUGUGUUCUGAGUUUUGUUAGCAUUUUUCAGCCUUGUUUGAAUCUGAAGAUUUUGAUUAGGUUGAGCCAAGCUUGUUACAUUUCUUAUUAUUCGUGCAUCCCAAAAUAUUCCUGCUGGAUUUGCUUGCUCUGGAAAGUGCCACCCUGAUUCCACUCUUGCCUGAUUCAUACAUUACACCAAACCAUAAUGCAAUGUUUUGAUUUGGAUAUAGCAUUAUGUGUGAAGAUAGCCACUGUAUUUGAAAGCCAAGGCGUCUGUUCCAAGCUACUAUAACUUGUUCUACAAAUCAGAAUUAAAACUAACUAAAGCUUGGCACAAUCUGUGAACUCAGCUUCUGUUUCUGUGCUAAUGAAGUUAUUUUCUGUCAAGGAAAUGAAAUAAAUUACCUUAUUGAUUAACCACA